rnacentral:lncRNA from 1 species
AAUGGUGCCAAUAUGAUAUUCUUCUGAGGCAUCAUUCUCUAGAGGCCAAACUAGAUGGGUAAUUACAAAAGUUGUAAAUGGCUAAAGCGCUAUCCUCUCAUCAUUAUUGUUGCUAGCCAAUAUGAUAUUCUUCUGAGGUGGGCUUGGUAAUGGUGAGUCUCCCAUACCCCGCUUAGAGUUCAAAAUAACUCUCGAAUUCCAUUGAGGGAUGUAGAAUUUGCCAAAAAUAGUGGGUGGUACUAUUUGAUUUAAGACCCAAUCAAGUAGUUUUAAAACAAAUAAUCUAAUACGAUUUCUGUUAUGUUAUGUAGUUAACGACAUGCCUAAAA